rnacentral:rRNA from 1 species
GACAGAGGGUGCAAACGUUGUUCGGAUUUACUGGGCGUAAAGCGCGUGUAGGCGGCUUGGCAAGUCGGAUGUGAAAGCCCACGGCUCAACCGUGGAAGCGCAUCCGAAACUGCUUCGCUCGAGUCUCGGAGAGGAAGGUGGAAUGCUUGGUGUAGAGGUGAAAUUCGUAGAUAUCAAGCAGAACACCUGCGGCGAAGGCCGGCCUCUGGACGAUGGACUGACGCUGAGACGCGAAGCGU